rnacentral:tRNA from 1 species
UGGCUGAGCGGUAAAGCGCUUGGCUUCCAAACAGGGGACCGGGGUUCGAAUCCUGG